rnacentral:piRNA from 1 species
UUUGAAUGCAGAAAGGAGGCG